AAAAAAAGAUUAACGCUUUCCAUUUUUCUUAAAGUAANAAAGUCAAAAGGUCGUCUUCUUCAAAACUCCAUACAUGCCAAUUCUGACCUCCCUUCCCUCCCACUCUACACUUCGAAUCCACACUUCGAAACGCAAUACCUGCUCUUACAAAGGAAAACUCCUAAGCUUCCAGAUCCUCCUAGCCAUUCCAGGCUAGGGAGAUGGGAGGUUGUUCCUAAAAGGAGCUUUUGAGAACAGAUCC
rnacentral:misc_RNA from 1 species